rnacentral:rRNA from 1 species
AGUCAAUAGAUACCCUGGUAGUCCACGCCGUAAACGAUGAGUACUAGGUGUAGGAGGUAUCGACUCCUUCUGUGCCGCAGUUAACACAAUAAGUACUCCGCCUGGGAAGUACGGUCGCAAGAUUAAAACUCAAAGGAAUUGACGGGGGCCCGCACAAGCAGCGGAGCAUGUGGUUUAAUUUCGAAGCAACGCGAAGAACCUUACCUAGACUUGACAUCUCCUGAAUAGUGUAGAGAUACAUGAAGCCCUUCGGGGUCGAGGAAGACAGGUGGUGCAUGGUUGUCGUCAGCUCGUGUCGUGAGGUGUUGGGUUAAGUCCCGCAACGAGCGCAACCCUUAUUACUAGUUGCUACCAUUAAGUUGAGCACUCUAGUGAGACUGCCCGGGUU